rnacentral:rRNA from 1 species
UACGUAGGGCCCAAGCGUUGUUCGGAUUUACUGGGCGUAAAGGGCGCGUAGGCGGCUCGACAAGUCACUUGUGAAAUCUCUGAGCUUAACUCAGAACGGCCAAGUGAAACUGUUGUGCUAGAGUGCAGAAGGGGCAAUCGGAAUUCUUGGUGUAGCGGUGAAAUGCGUAGAUAUCAAGAGGAACACCUGAGGUGAAGACGGGUUGCUGGGCUGACACUGACGCUGAAGCGCGAAAGCCAGGGGAGCAAACGGG